rnacentral:tmRNA from 1 species
GGGGCCGACUGGUUUCGACAGCAAGAUGAAUGAAUGUGUAAGCAGGCCGAGCGUUGAGUGAGUGGCUCGGAAAUCUCAACACUAACUUUGCUAAAUGGCGACAACAAUUAUGCGCUUGCGGCUUAAGACUCGAUAGAGAUUAAACCUAAUUCUUGGCACUAGGUGCCAGAACAAGCUAUCUCGCAGGGGUUCUGCUCAAUAAUACCCUGGGUACGAGGUAUCAGCAUUUUGGGCUAGUCAGGUAGGCACCUUAACUGCUUGGCGAAACUAAAAAGGUUAAGGUAAGUGUAGGGCGUUGAUCCCCGGCAUUUAUUCGAAAACCAACGAUUGACUAAGCUUGUAGAAAGCAUGUUGAUUCCUUGUUUGGACGAGGGUUCGAAUCCCUCCGGCUCCACA